rnacentral:lncRNA from 1 species
UGGAAUUUUAGGCUAAGGAACUGGGCUUUACAAUAGCAGAUGCCAGGGCUAUUUGGAGCAGACCUGAGGGUGUGGUUACGUGAAUGAAUGGCAAAGUCAACGUGCUUUGAAAGAGGAGGUCAGAGCACUUACAACGGCGCCAGCCUCCUUGGUGUGGCGGCUCCUCCAGCAGGCGCCAACUUCCACACACGCCUAUGGUCGGCCACCGCAGUGAAGAGACACAGAAGCUGAGGGUGGGCCAUGCACACAUGAGAUGGCCCUUCCGAGCCGGUCAAGGACAGCGUGAAAGCAGCCAAGCCAGCCGGCAGAUUCUCUUUCUUCUUGAGAAGUUUGCUCCCAUCUUAAAAUAUCUUGUUACAGCAAGCAAGUCCACCAAGAAAGACACUCACAAGAAAAUAAACAAACAAAAAAAAGC